ensembl:lncRNA
CAGGUAUCCUAGUGGUUGGAGUGUAGGGGGGCAGGGAAGGCGAGUGGUUGAAGUGUAGGGGGGGGCAGGUAGCCGAGUUGUUGGAGUGUAGGGGGGGCAGGUAGCCUAGUGGUUGGAGUGUAGUGUGGGGCAGGUAUCCUAGUGGUUGGAGUGUAGGGGGGGGCAGGUAGCCUAGUGGUUGGAGUGUAGGGGGGCAGGUAGGCAAGUGGUUGGAGUGUAGGGGGAGGCAGGUAGCCUAGUGGUUGGAGUGUAGAGUGGGGCAGGUAGCCUAGUGGUUGGAGUGUAGUGGGGGGCAGGUAGCCUAGUGGUUGGAGUGUAGGGGGGGGCAGGUAGCCUAGUGGUUGGAGUGUAG